UACGUAGGGAGCAAGCGUUGUCCGGAAUCAUUGGGCGUAAAGCGCGCGUAGGUGGCCCCAUAAGUCCGCUGUGAAAGUCAAAGGCUCAACCUUUGAAAGCCGGUGGAAACUGGAGGACUUGAGUACAGAAGAGGAGAGUGGAAUUCCACGUGUAGCGGUGAAAUGCGUAGAGAUGUGGAGGAACACCAGUGGCGAAGGCGACUCUCUGGUCUGUAACUGACGCUGAGGAGCGAAGGCGUGGGGAGCGAACAGG
rnacentral:rRNA from 1 species